UACGGGGGGGGCAAGCGUUGUUCGGAAUUACUGGGCGUAAAGGGCUCGUAGGUGGCCAACUAAGUCAGACGUGAAAUCCCUCGGCUUAACCGGGGAACUGCGUCUGAUACUGGAUGGCUUGAGUUCGGGAGAGGGAUGCGGAAUUCCAGGUGUAGCGGUGAAAUGCGUAGAUAUCUGGAGGAACACCGGUGGCGAAGGCGGCAUCCUGGACCGGUAUUGACGCUGAGGCGCGAAAGCGUGGGGAUCAAACAGG
rnacentral:rRNA from 1 species